rnacentral:rRNA from 1 species
AAACUGGAGAUGGCGACCGGCGCACGGGUGAGUAACACGUAUCCAACCUGCCGAUAACUCGGGGAUAGCCUUUCGAAAGAAAGAUUAAUACCGAUAUAUAAUGAAACCGCAUGGUCUUAUUAUUAAAGAAUUUCGGUUAUCGAUGGGGGUGCGUUCCAUUAGGCAGUUGGUGAGGUAACGGCUCACCAAACCUUCGAUGGAUAGGGGUUCUGAGAGGAAGGUCCCCCACAUUGGAACUGAGACACGGUCCAA